rnacentral:rRNA from 1 species
AACGAACGCUGGCGGCAUGCCUAACACAUACAAGUCGAACGAGACCUUCGGGUCUAGUGGCGCACGGGUGCGUAACGCGUGGGAACCUGCCCUUAGGUUCGGAAUAACUCCCCGAAAGGGGUGCUAAUACCGGAUAAUGUCUUCGGACCAAAGAUUUAUCGCCUUUGGAUGGGCCCGCGUUGGAUUAGCUAGUUGGUAGGGUAAAAGCCUACCAAGGCGACGACCCAUAGCUGGUCUGAGAGGAUGAUCAGCCACACUGGGACUGAGACACGGCCCAGACUCCUACGGGAGGCAGCAGUGGGGAAUAUUGGACAAUGGGCGAAAGCCUGAUCCAGCAAUGCCGCGUGAGUGAUGAAGGCCUUAGGGUUGUAAAGCUCUUUUACCCGGGAUGAUAAUGACAGUACCGGGAGAAUAAGCUCCGGCUAACUCCGU